rnacentral:lncRNA from 1 species
GCCGCCGGGGCCGCCUAGAGAAGAGGCUGUGCUUCGGCGCUCCGGCUCCUCAGAGAGCCUCGGCUAGGUGUGGAAACAGGAAGAGAACUAGAACUGGAAGUAAAGCAUUGAAGAUGUGACUGAAUUGCUGCAAUCUCAUGAUCAAAUUUGAAUGGAUGAGGAGUUGCUUUUUAGGGAUGAGCAAAGAAAGUGGUUUCUCGAGAUGGAAUCUACUGGUUGCUCCUUGAGGGCAGGACAGUUCUUAUGGCUUUAUCCGUUGCGUAAGCACAGAGAGGUCUGCGAGGUCAAAACUAUUGUCAUGAUAGCAAGAUGCCUGUCUUUUUCAUUUAUUCUCACGGUGUGCAGAGGCUACAUGAUGUGUGAUGACAUCCUCAUUGAUGUUAAUGAAUGGUGCUAUACUUGAAUUUUCUAAGGUGUCAUUAGGUAGGUUUAGGUAUGCAUACUUGUUUUUAGAAAUUAUUUUUUUCCUUUUUCCCAUUUUUAGAAAUCAACUCAUUUUUUAGGUUAUGCCUUCAGUAAUCUUUGCAACCUCAAUAUUGUGUAAUGGUUACUUUAAAAUACUGUAGUUUUCUUUGUGCCUAAGUAUAAACAUAAGUACAUUUUGUUGUUUUGUUUGCAAUAGUGGUUUAAAUAUUUUCCCAAAAUAUCCAAAUUUAAAAAUUCUACAACUUUAGAAUUUAAUAAAUUUAUUCUAAAAUAUUUAUAUAUUUUUUCAUUUAAGAAUGGAUCGGCUUAAAAAGACUGCUUCUCAUUUACUUACUGGCUAUACCAUCUGUAUACUAAUAAAAAACAAGAUUUGAUUUGGAAGGACUGACUCAAACUAACGAAAAUAUGAAACCUGUCUUUCUGCUUUGGAGAUAUUUACCUAAUCAUGUUCUGCAGUAGAAUAAUUUAGUUCUUUUGUCUUUUUUUGGAGAUGAGGUCUUGCUGUGUUGCCCAGGCUAUUCACAGCUGCCAUCAUAGUGAACUACAGCCUGAAACUCCUGGGUUCAAGAGAUCCUUCUGCCUCAGCCUCCUGAGUAGCUGGAACUAUAGGCAUGCGCCACCAAGCCUGGGCUUUUAAAAAAAUUUUAAAAAGAAUUUUGAGACAGGAUCUUGCCAUGUUGCUCAGGCUAGUCUUCAACUCCUAGCCCUGAGUGAUCUUGCUUUGGGCCUCUCAAAAUGUUGAGUUAAUAGGCGUGAGCCACCAUACCCAGCCAAAAAUUUUUUUAGAGAUGGGAAUGGAAUGAUCUUGAAUAGUGUUGGUGCCACCUAUGUUGUGGCAUCAUUUUGAAACCAAUCAUUCAGAGUGCUUUUUUUGGUAAGGCAUUAUUUUUUAAUGCAGGUAUGCCACUACUGGGAAAAAAAAAAAAACAGGUUUUAAAGCUAGAAAUGAAAAGCUACUUAAGUAUCUUAAAGGAUAAGUUACUUUAUUAUACACUAGAAACAUACACAAUAGCUGAAAAACUUAAAAAAUCUCACACUGCUGAAUGUCUCUGCUGGCUGAAGUGUAAGUAAAAGAUCAUAGUAGUGCCGCUGUUGAGUGAUAAAGCAACUUGUCAUUAAAGAUGUGUGUGCAGACAUGGAUUCUGAGUUAAUAUCUCAUCUGUAGAAGUAUAUAUUUGUCCCUUGCUUUGGGAUUGGUUUCUGGACAGCACUCCCCCACCCUUGCUGGCCAUUUGCCAAGGACACCAAAACCCAAGGAUGUUGAAUUCCCUUUUAUAAAAUGGCGCUGUAUCUGCAUACAACUUACACACAUCCUCCCAUAUACUUUAAAUCAUUUCCAGAUUUCUUAUACUUCAUACAAUGUGAAUGCUAUAUAAAUAGUUGUUACAUUGUGUACUUAUAUUUGUACUAUUGUAUUAAAUAUUCUCAAAUAUU